rnacentral:lncRNA from 1 species
GUAAUGGUCGCUUAAGUGUUCACAAAUGCCUGAACACCCUGUCCUACCUGGUCCUACCUGGAUGCUGGCCUCAGUAAGCUCCUGGGCUCAUUGAAGAUGAACCUAGCAGUAGUAUUUACACCACUUGUUGUGUGCCCACUGUGGGCCCGGCGCCAUGCCGAGUGCUCUAUGGAUGUGAGUGCUGGGAGAGAAAAGCAUACGACAUAGACAGGGAGGUCAAGCUCCACCACGCAGAUGAGGUGCAGGCCACCAGUCUUCCUCUGCCACAUCUCUUUCUGAAAAGGCAGCCUGUGCUGAGAAACCAUGACUGAGUAAGCCAAGCUUUGUUGGCCGCACCUGCCAAGCCACAGGGUGCCUCAGGCUUGGAGCAUCCCGGAGCCAGUUACAACCCAAGACUUCAGCCUUCUGGAAGGUGUUGGGUCAGCCACCCUGAAGGACGAUCCUGCCCAAGUGACAUGCUUUGCUCUUCCUUCUCACCCAGGACUUCACAUUCACCCUUGCAAUCCAUGUGGGGACACUGUUGGAUAGGAGGCGUGGUCCCAGCGUGGUCUCCCUGUCUGGGCCUCUGCCUAUGCCAAAUGUUUGCCUUACGCUGCACACUCAAGAGGUUCCAUGUAUACAGAUGGGAAUUCCAGAGCUACAGAAAAGGCAGCAAGCACCAUGAUUUAAGCUAACCAGUGUGGAUUCACACCUUCCUCUCUCUCUAUCAGUGGCAGAACUACCAGCUAGAGUAAGAAGUGGUUGAUCCAGGACCUAAACAUUCUGGAAACUCUUGCCCACUUCUGGGAGAAAUGACCCAAUCCAUAGUACUAAGCACACCUUAACUUUCGUAGGACGCAGGCAAGUUGUCAUACCGUGUGCCUAAAUAUAGAAAAAUGAUCCACUGGACUAAUAAAGUGUUAAAUAAAA